GACGAACGCUGGCGGCGUGCCUAAUACAUGCAAGUAGAACGCUGAAGGAGGAGCUUGCUCUUCUGGAUGAGUUGCGAACGGGUGAGUAACGCGUAGGUAACCUGCCUGGUAGCGGGGGAUAACUAUUGGAAACGAUAGCUAAUACCGCAUAACAGUAGAUGUUGCAUGACAUUUGCUUAAAAGGUGCAAUUGCACCACUACCAGAUGGACCUGCGUUGUAUUAGCUAGUUGGUGGGGUAACGGCUCACCAAGGCGACGAUACAUAGCCGACCUGAGAGGGUGAUCGGCCACACUGGGACUGAGACACGGCCCAGACUCCUACGGGAGGCAGCAGUUGGGAAUCUUCGGCAAUGGACGGAAGUCUGACCGAGCAACGCCGCGUGAGUGAAGAAGGUUUUCGGAUCGUAAAGCUCUGUUGUAAGAGAAGAACGAGUGUGAGAGUGGAAAGUUCACACUGUGACGGUAUCUUACCAGAAAGGGACGGCUAACUACGUG
rnacentral:rRNA from 1 species